rnacentral:rRNA from 1 species
UCAAUAAGCGGAGGAAAAGAAACCAACAGGGAUUGCCCUAGUAACGGCGAGUGAAGCGGCAACAGCUCAAAUUUGAAAUCUGGCUUCGGCCCGAGUUGUAAUUUGCAGAGGAAGCUUUAGGCGCGGCACCUCCUGAGUCCCCUGGAACGGGGCGCCACAGAGGGUGAGAGCCCCGUAUAGUUGGAUGCCUAGCCUGUGUAAAGCUCCUUCGACGAGUCGAGUAGUUUGGGAAUGCUGCUCAAAAUGGGAGGUAAAUUUCUUCUAAAGCUAAAUACCGGCCAGAGACCGAUAGCGCACAAGUAGAGUGAUCGAAAGAUGAAAAGCACUUUGAAAAGAGGGUUAAAUAGCACGUGAAAUUGUUGAAAGGGAAGCGCUUGUGACCAGACUUGCGCCGGGCUGAUCAUCCGGUGUUCUCACCGGUGCACUCUGCCCGGCUCAGGCCAGCAUCGGUUCUCGCGGGGGGAUAAAGGCCCUGGGAACGUAGCUCCUCCGGGAGUGUUAUAGCCCGGGGCGUAAUGCCCUCGCGGGGACCGAGGUUCGCGCUCUGCAAGGAUGCUGGCGUAAUGGUCAUCAGCGACCCGUCUUGAAACACGGACCAAGGAGUCAAGGUUUUGCGCGAGUGUUUGGGUGUAAAACCCGCACGCGUAAUGAAAGUGAACGUAGGUGAGAGCUUCGGCGCAUCAUCGACCGAUCCUGAUGUUCUCGGAUGGAUUUGAGUAGGAGCGUUAAGCCUUGGACCCGAAAGAUGGUGAACUAUGCUUGGAUAGGGUGAAGCCAGAGGAAACUCUGGUGGAGGCUCGCAGCGGUUCUGACGUGCAAAUCGAUCGUCAAAUCUGAGCAUGGGGGCGAAAGACUAAUCGAACCAUCUAGU